AUGGUACAUCUACUGCAAUUCCCUGUGUAUCCUGCUGAUCCUUGUUUUCCCCAAGAUAAGGCAACCCAAGCCUUCUUGUUGGAAAUGCCUGGAAGUGUUUACAAAGCACUCACCAAAAGCAUCCAGAAGGAAGGCUGGGCACAAUUUCAGUGCUGGCACGCCAAUGUGGGCUCCUGUGUUUCCUGCUUCCCUGGCAGCCCCUGUGGAGUUUGUCAGCCAAGAUCUCACUCAGUUCCUCACCUUGAUGGUAUUGGGGUUGUCACAGCCUGCUUUUCCACAUGCAGAUCUUGCUCUUGGGUUUACAUGGCAAGUUUCUUACAGGCUUGAGCUGCUCUUGAAAACCUUUUGGAGAAGAAAAAUGUGCCCUGGGACGGCUUUGAAGCAUUUUUGGGUUCAUUGUUGAGAUCUGACGUUCUCCAACGCAGAUAAAUUGGUUCUGUGGCCUUAAUGGAAAUCUGAAACUCUACCCAGCAUUUAGAAUUUCUCCUCAUGGACCGGAUCCUUGGCUGCCAUCCUGCCUGCUUUGGUCUGCUCGGGAGGAAUUUGGGGAAUGUACCAAAUGUUUAAACUGCAGCUACAAAUUCAGGUUUUCUUCAGCUCAAGAGGAAACUACAAUUAAGACAUGAUUGUUGUAAGGAGAAAAAGCCCUCUCAGCUGAAGUGUUUCCAAGCUACUCAUCAGUUCCCUAGUGUUUCUCUUGUAGAAAUUCAUCUAGUCCUGUGAUAUCAAUCUUGUAAACAAAUACUUUCUUUACUUACCUCCUGUGAUAAAAUUCAUGCUUUAUAUUUCUCUAGGAACUCCUUGGCCCGUUCUUGUCUUCUUUCAGAUUGGGAAAUGUGAAGAAAAAAGUUAAAAAAAAAAAAUCUCAGUUUGGAUCACUCAUCCUUGUAAUGACUUUUAAAAAACCACAAAAACAUCAACAAGAAAGUGAAUUGAAACAGAAUUUAAUAUUUUCUUCUAAAUAUUCUUAAAAUUAAAUAACAACUGUAUGGCACAGCAAGAGCAGAUACCUGGUCCAAAUGCCUGUUCUCAGAAUAUACGAUGAGGGAAAAAGUGAUGAGUGCCAGGGGAAUAUGUUUCAUUUUCUUGUGUCUGUGUACUUGUGGAUGAGGAGCCUGGCAGCCAGGUCCUGUUAAAUACAGGGGUUCACCACUGCUGAUUGAGCUACCCAUGCAAGUAUUAUACCCAGGGAUGCACAGCUGCCAUGAUACUUUUUAGUUUGAGGGGAUUUGGAAAUGUGCUGCUGUUCCAAGUGUCUGUAAUGCACGUUCCCUUCCCAGAGAUGGGAACAGAUCCAUUCCUGCUGCUCUGAAUGGAAACAUCCUCU
rnacentral:lncRNA from 1 species